GACGAACGCUGGCGGCGUGCCUAAUACAUGCAAGUAGAACGCUGAAGGCGGAGCUUGCUUCUCCGGAUGAGUCGCGAACGGGUGAGUAACGCGUAGGUAACCUGCCUGGUAGCGGGGGAUAACUAUUGGAAACGAUAGCUAAUACCGCAUAAGAGUAGAUGUCGCAUGACAUUUGCUUAAAAGGUGCAACUGCACCACUACCAGAUGGACCUGCGUUGUAUUAGCUAGUUGGUGAGGUAACGGCUCUCCAAGGCAACGAUGCAUAGCCGACCUGUGAGGGUGAGCGGACACACUGGGAGGGAGACACGGCCCAGAGUGCGACGGGAGGCAGCAGUAGGGAAACUGCGGCAAGGGGCGGAAGUCUGACCGAGCAACGCCGCGUGAGGAAAGAAGGUUUUCGGAUCGUGAAGCUCGGUUGUAAGAGAAGAACGAGUGUGAGAGUGGAAAGUUCACACAGUGACGGUAUCUGACCAGAAAGGGACGGCUAACUACGUG
rnacentral:rRNA from 1 species